rnacentral:misc_RNA from 1 species
UCAUACAAGGUCCCACUGAG